UCUCCCCCCUCCCCCCCCUCUCUCUCUCUCUCUCUCCGCAGAUAUUCACAGAUAGAGAAGGAGCAUUUCACUCCCCAUUUGACAAUCGAAGACAACAAACAACGUACUCUCCCUUAAUCUCUCCCACCAUUCCCGGUUUUUGCUCACCAUUGAUCUCUCUAUCUCCCUUCUUCUGCUUCCUGUCUCCUUCCUCUUCCGUCGGCGGUCAAGGGAACUCAGGCCGUUUCCUGUAUCUCUCUGUCUAUCUCCCUUAUCCUCACUUUCAAGGAUCAUAUCCACCUUCGUCUGUCAUAUAUUUAUUUGUCUUCUUCCGCCUUUGAUGCGCUUGAUCUUCAGUUCCCUCUUGUCUGUGGUUCGUUUUUCGUCCGCCCUUGUUGAAAAAAAUCUGCCUCCCCGUUCGACCUUUCUCACUGCCGUUGCUCCUGCACCUGGGUGUCCAAUUUCGGUGGGGGGAAUCCCUCGCGUUAUUCCUUUCUCCGGGUUCAUCUUUUCGCACACACUGUGAUUUGGAGGGUUUCUGGAGCGUGUGGGUGUUGGGAUUUGGAUUGAAGGAAGAGGCGGACGGUGGUACCGAAGAGUAGGGUGGGGAUCAAAGUCCCUUGGUGGAGUAAACGAGAAGAAGCAUCAACUUUUAGCCUCUAGUUGUGGAUAUAGAAUUUGGUCUGGAGAUUCUUGAAGAUCUUGGUUGUUCCAAUGGUGAAGUUCCGGUGGGAUCUUGACGGAAAAAGGCACCUGACGAGGGGAAAUUUUGCAAUUAGGGUUUUGUAUGUCAUCUCUUGGUGACUGAUUCCAUGUCUCGUUGCGGUGGAACGAGGAAUUCUAAGUUGGGAUAUGGAAGAAGGAUGUAGAUUAGGAUUGCUGGCGAAGGUUUUGCUUUGUGCCGGUGCCGUUUGGUGAUUCCAUUGUUUGAGCUUGUUGGACUCUAAAAAGUGGUCUCUAUCUAAGAGAAAUUGAAUUUGUUGGAGGUUGUUACUAUCCUGGAGCUGCUUUUCUGUGGCGUCGGUGUUGGGAAAUGCUUAAACUGCGUUUGCUGGAGGUGGACUUAAUCAGAUAUAAGUGGGUGAUGGUUAAACUGUCAGGUUUUCGUCAGACACGGCAUUGUGGGAUCCUGUUUUGGCUUAUUACAUAAAUGAAUCUUCUCCAACAGAUCUUAGGUUUAGCAUAAUAGUUUUCAUCUGCUUGCGUGCAAUCGUUUUCGGUGAUUUAUGUGAGUCGCUGGUAUAUCACGUUCUCCAAUUGAAGAGGGUGGUUCAUCAGUUUGGUAUCAUUGGUUCUGGAUUGAAAGUACUGGCGUUUGACUAACAAAUUCCAUUUAUAAGGUGGAUACAGAAAUGGUGCUUCUUUGAAGUUGGAAAUGAAACUGGGGACAUGGUGGAUGAACGAGAGCACGAGCGUUGGUUUGUUCCUCUUCCGGAACAGCAUUAUCGGCAGUUAAUUACAUUUGUGUGCUUGGCAAAAAAAAAAUAUAUUGCUGGUCAAAGGAUUUGCGUGCAAUGUCUCGCUGCUUUCCGUUCCCUCCACCAGGAUAUGAAAAGAAAACCAGAACUGGUGAUUUAGAUUCGUUAUUAAAGGAAAAGCACAAGGAGAAGAAGCAGAAGAAGGAAAAGAAAGACCGAGAAAAGAAAGAGAGCAAAGAUAAAAAAGUGAAGGACAGAAGCAAGGAAAAGCACAGGGAUAAGGACCGGAAGGAUAAGCAUAAGGACAAGAAGAGAGAUAAGGACAAGGAUAGACAUAAGACAGCAGAUGAGCAGCGAGGUGAAGAAAGAAAGGCAGAUGACACUCCUGGGAAGCUUGUGGAAAGAAAUCAUGCAGUGCAGGAGAAAAAAUUUACAGAUGAGUUCAUUAGGAGAAUCAGAGAUGAUGGAAAAAAGGCUGAAGACAUGGUUGGGCACUUCAAUGGGGUGCAGCAAAGACAAUUUGAUGGGACAGUCAGGACAAAAGAUAUUGAGGUUAAGGGAAAAAAUAGAGAAAACCGAAUUGAGGGGGCUGAGAGGCCAAAGGGCAUUGAGAACAAGGAGAAAAAUAAAGGUAGGAGAACAGAGGUUAUUGGUUGGUCGAAGGAGGACAUUGGAGAUAAGGCCAAGAACAAAGAACGGCAAACCGAGGGGGUCGAUAAGCCAAGCCAAGUAGUUGUGGUUAAAGACAAGAGAAAAGAAAGGCAACCAGAGGGGAUUGACAAGUCAAACGAGUAUAUUUUGGGUAAAGACUAUGACAAUGAAAGACAAGCUUUGGGGAUUCAUCGGCCAAAAGAGGACAUUGUUAGUAGUAAAAAGGUUAAAGAGAAGCAAAUUGAAGUUACAGAUAGAACAAAACCAGAUGUUAUUAGUAAAGACAAGGCCAAGGAAAUGCAGACGAAGGGGAUAGAGAGGCACAAAGCAGAUAUUACAGGUAAGGAGAAGGCCAAACAAAUGUAUAUUGGGGGUAUUAAUGGGCCAAAGGAGGUUGUUAUGGGUAGAGGAGAAAAUAAAGAAAAGGAAGUUAACACAAAGAAAGCAAAGCACAAGGAUAAAGCGCAAGGGCGAGAGGAGAAAAGUAAAUCAAAGGAUAAGAAGGAUGAGGAGGAGGAGAAGGUAGGACGGAUUGCUCAUAAGCAGAUAGAACAGAUAUUAGGAGAAAGUGGCAAUAAGCUGCAGUCGGGUACUUUUAGUGUUGCAGCAGUAUACCUUGGAAAGGACAUUACAAAUAAUGCUGGUCAGGAUCCAAACACCCGAAAGAGGAAGGAUUUGGAGAGGAAUGGAGUUCUCCAUGAUGAACUGCGACCUAAUAAGCUCCCAAGGGCAGCUUCUGGUGCCAUAUUGCCAUUGGAAAAUGGUUGUAGACCAGAAACCGUUCACAGUGCUCUUCAGCGCACCCCUGACAGACAGGGAGAAGCUGAUAACCGGAAGCUUGAAAGAGUAACUGAUGGCAAUGCAUGUAGUCCGUCUCCAUACAAUAAAGAUCGUAAAAUCAAUGGCAAAUUAGAACCUCGGCUUUCUAGCGUUAACCUACGGCCUUGUGCUGCAACUGUUGUAGACACCAGCAUCAGUGGCAGAGAACCUAUAAGACCGCCCCAUCCUGACUCUCAAUAUCUAAAUCAAAUUCUCACUGUGCCCAAAGUGCCUGAAUGGUCUGAUUUUGAUGACCAGGAGUGGCUGUUCAGUGACAAUAACAUUCAGACUAAGCCAAGUUUUCAGUCAGAGAUUGAUGGGACGCCGCAGGUAUGGGCAGAGACCUUGCACAUUGAGCCAGCUGACGUGCACGCUUUGCCAUAUGUUAUUCCCUAUUGAUAGCCGAGAUUGGGCUUGUAGCUUUUUUGUGCCGAGCCAGAGUUGCCCAUCAAAGGUAUGGCAAAGUGAAGGGCUAUGUCUUCUCUUGUUUGCAGUUAUGGUUUUGUUCUUUCAUGUAGAGAUGCCAACCUGUUAAGAGAGGAGACAUUUCCACAAAUGUUUAUUGAAAUGAGAUUAAGGCAUUCAUCACUGUCCUUCGGCUGAUAGGUUGCUGCGCAUUGCAGGGCUUGCGAUGAGUUCCCUGUGCUGCAUCUAAUAACUGAUGGAAAUUGAUCUCAAGGCUUAUUCAUGCUCAAAAGCUCCUUACAUGCGGCAGGCUACAAUAGCGAACUGUCUACAAGUGUCGGGAGCGAAUUGGCUUUCUUCAAGGGGCCGGUUGGGCCAACAGCUGUGAGGGUCUCUUAUGGGCAACAUCAAGUUCCUGUGCAAAGUUCCCUGUACAAACCUGAGCAAGCAUGACAUGAGCCCUAGCGACGAAGAUACUAGCGACUCUCAACCUCGGGCGGUCAACCUCGGGCGGUUCUCUGAAUAAGAAACGGAAGAAGAGAAAGGGGAAAACUGUGGCUUAUGUAAGGAUAGGGUUGCACCACCAUUGUCGGCUUGACAAGGCCGGUCUCCACUGGGUGGACUUCCAUUCUGCCUUUAAAGCAAAAAUUGAAUUUACAUCAUUACCAAACUGUUCCCUGUCACAUUAAUGUGUGAAAAUCUUAGAUUCAUACUUAGGUUAUAGGCGGUUCUACUGUUAUGGCGGCCAUGGUAACGCCUAA